GAUUGGGUUUUGUAAAGUUAAAAAUCUGUACCAGGUUUCCGUAGGUGAACCUGCCGAAGGAUCAUU
rnacentral:rRNA from 1 species